GAUGAACGCUAGCUACAGGCUUAACACAUGCAAGUCGAGGGGAAACGAUAUUGGAAGCUUGCUUCCGAUAGGCGUCGACCGGCGCACGGGUGAGUAACGCGUAUCCAACCUGCCCACCACUUGGGGAUAACCUUGCGAAAGUAAGACUAAUACCCAAUGAUAUCUCUAGAAGACAUCUGAAAGAGAUUAAAGAUUUAUCGGUGAUGGAUGGGGAUGCGUCUGAUUAGCUUGUUGGCGGGGUAACGGCCCACCAAGGCGACGAUCAGUAGGGGUUCUGGGAGGAAGGUCCCCCACAUUGGAACUGAGACACGGUCCAAACUCCUACGGGAGGCAGCAGUGAGGAAUAUUGGUCAAUGGACGAGAGUCUGAACCAGCCAAGUAGCGUGCAGGAUGACGGCCCUAUGGGUUGUAAACUGCUUUUAUAAGGGAAUAAAGUGAGCCUCGUGAGGCUUUUUGCAUGUACCUUAUGAAUAAGGACCGGCUAAUUCCGUGCCAGCCGCCGCGGUAA
rnacentral:rRNA from 1 species